GUUGUUGCGUAGGCCAGUCGAAACAAUUAUAAUACGUCUUCGGAGAGGAUUAUUGGCAAUCUACCACUGCAACAAAACCUUUUCUUCGUCAGGUACUGGUAUACUAGAAAUACUCAUUGAACUGUCAAUAUUCAAGGGUAAGUGGUUUAAUCUAUUUUACGAAACUCUACAAUACAUGUUUGACAGUUCCAACUAGCUUAAAGCAAACAUCUGUGACAGUGGACAACUGCUACAUAGGCCUAUAGAUAUCGGCGAGAUUCUUAUUUAUGAAACGAAUUGCUUUGUUUGGCCAGCGUUUCUGGCUUUGAAUUAAAGUUUUCACGAACUUCAGGUGAAAUUUCACUCCGAGAAAUAUAAUUCUUCGUCAUUACAAGUCAGCGAGAAACGGCAUUAGAAAAUAGAAAUAUUUGCUCGUACUUCCGUAUUUGAGAAAGCCUUGCGUUAUCAAAGAGUUUAUUUCAAGCAAAGUUGAUAUAAAACAAAGGUGUCUGCACCAUUUAUUGGUUUAUCUUGUGUUUGACUCGUAUUUUUUAGUUUACAAGAUGCGGACUGCUAUUUUAUGCCUUUCGGCGAUUGGGCCUUGUACUGUUUGGUAGCCUAUGUUCCUGUUGGGAACAGAUUGCAGUUUGCAAAAAAAUAUUAACGUCCAGAAUAAGGGUGUUUCUUUAUUACAGGAUCAUGCGGUGUGGUUUCCUAAAAAAACAAACUACCUCUUAUUAAACCGUUAACUAUCGGAUGAAUCGUACCGUCUAGGAUGUUAUGCUUGUACAGCGGAAAAGGAAUUCGUCCUAAAGGAUAAAAACUUGUAGCCAAUGCUGUAUAUUAUGUUCGACCAUGUAGGCAAAGAAAUGAAUCUUCGAUGUGUGUGGCUAUUUCAUCUUUACGACAAAAUACAUUACAACCAAUUAUCGUCCAGCAAGUUUUAGUGGCCAAAUUUACGAAUGAGUAUUAUGUAAAUAAUGAUAAUGUAUCGUUUUAAAUUGCACUAACAGUUUGUGUUAUAAGUAUCGCAGAACUAUUAGUUUUAAAUGUCCUAUAAUAUAGAGUCUUCUAUAAUAUUUCGAUGUACAUGUACGGAUUGUUGUUUAAAGUAAAAUGGUUAUUACCUCUUGCCAUUCCGAAAAAUAUAUGCAUGAGUAGAAUUCCAAGGGGAGAUUUUCAUCAGAGAGCAAUAUAUAGAAUUCAAUAAUCACUUUGCAUAUUUUUCAUGCUGAUAAGAAUCAACAAUGCUUGCACGUAAUUAUGAUUGCACUUUAAAUUUUGAUUUUUACGUGAGUUUCUUGAUGAAUAAUGGGGCAAAGAACGGUAAAAGGUGUGCAUGUUACAUAAUCUAUCAAGUAAUGUUAAAAAAAAAGAGAGAAUUUCAAUGGCAUGGCAAAACGAAAAUGUUUGACUGACGUCAGCAACUUUCACAUUUGUUGGUGUACUAAAUACGGAUUUACUUUUCGGCAUAUAUGUUGUAAAAUUAGAUGGCGACUGCAUGAACUGCAUGAUUCGAUUUGUAUAACACGGGCUGGAUUUGUAUACCGCAGACUGAACUGAACUUAUAAUACGCGGACUGCAUUGAACCUUCAGACGUUGAUGCUAGUUAUAAUUAUUGUCGUAUUCGAACUAUCGUUAGGCUAGUACGUCCAGUAAGAUUCUGGGCAUAUAUUUUUUAGUAUAACAAUAGUUUCACUCCCAGUGUUUUCGUGCAAAACCAGAGCUCGCCAGAUGUGAGAAAUUGAUCCGCUCUAAACUCUCCUGAGCGGCUAAGCCAAUUAAAUUGCUUUAUUUUUACCGCUAGAAAUAAAUAUAUUUAAUCCAUAUGUUGGUCAACUUCGCGCACACUGAUUUAGACGCAAUAUAUGAACAACGAUAGCGAGUGUUAAGGUGGAUAUUCAAACACGGGAUUAAAACAAUGUAUGAAAACACGAGCGCGAAGAGCGAGUGUUUUCAUACAUUGUUUUCGAGUGUUUGGAUAUCCCGGUGAGACACGAGCUCGAGUUGUUUAUAUGGCUCAUCAAAUGAAUCGAGACUAACAGAAUGUUUUCGUUUGCUGAUUUGAAUAGAAAUCUUAACCAAGCAUAAUGUACAAUUAGGAAUUCUAUUCAAGUAAUUUUGCAUGCGUAAUUAAGUAAAUCUCGAACAACGGAAUGACACGUGCUGAUUUCCACUCCACAGGCACUUUAGCCUGGUGCAACGAUGCGUUAAUGAUAACUGUUAAAGGUUUUGCGACAAUAUACGUUCGGCAUCUUUAAGUAGCCGCGGUGGAAUAUCGUCCAGUUCGACUGCUUUACUAGAUUUGAGACGGCGAAGCUGGCAAAAAAACAAAGUUUUCUGAAACCUCCUGGAAUUCAAAGGGCAGGCGCUGAUCGGCUUGAGUAAAAUUUCCAGUGCGUUUAACAUUAUUGAAUACAACAGACACAGCUUCGUUAAAAGAGUAAAAAAGACGACGAACAGUCCCUGUAAAAAAAAACUAAUGAACGCAUUCGCCAUUACCCUCGCAUCCCAUGAAAUAUUGUCUCCAAUCUUCAUCCUCGCAGGCAUUUCUUUAGUUUCUCCAGGAAUGAUUUUUUUGUGUGAUAAUUAUUGCAAAAAUUUAAUAUUACCGCUAUAGUUUUCUUUGAAAGUCAUUUACGCCACAGAGUUCUGUUGUGGUUCCUUUUAGUUUGUAUAUUUACCUCAUUUUGAUUCAUUCUUCUUUGUAGGUAUUAAAUACGAUUUAAAAUUACUAUUGUUUACGUUUGCAUGCUAUUUUUAGCAUUUACUGUAGCGUGAUAUAAAACUAUAAUAGCAUGAACUAGGAUUGAUGUAUCAAAAAGAAACUAAGAGGUUAUCGGAGAAAAUGAAAGAUUGUUCAAUAAAUGGAAAUUCCUCCUAUUGACAACUCGAAUUUGAAAUUGAACGGAUGUGUUAAGACUACAUGUAGGAGAAUUUUGUUGUUACCUGUCAAAACGGAAAAAAGGGUCUCAGCUUGGGGAAUUUAGGAGACCAUCGAAAAGACAGAGUCUAAGAGAUAGGUGGAAUAGCUACGUUGGACAAAAAAGUGUCUCAUUUCAAGACAUUUGGCUUGGAAGUCCUCAUCUUCACUGCAAAUGCGGAGGAACCGAGAGAAGGGAAUAGACCUGUCGGUUUGGUUGAGGGUGGGAAGACGAAAAUAGAAGAUAGCUGUGAGAAAUAGUUGGCUUGUAGAACAUAGAAGGACAAGCUUAUUGCCAUUGAUUGAUACACUGGUCUCACUGAUCUCCCAUGUGAACUGGAGUACCACUGCUAUGUGGAAUUAAUUUACAAAGUUAGUAGACCGUUCCAUUUCGAUACGGGAACGCGAUUACCUUGGUAGGUAUACAGAUUACUGCCUUAGCACAGCAUCUAGCCUACGUGUCUGGCUCCAUGUUUGAAAUAGAGCCUGCUACUGACAAAAAUGGACUUAUACGUUACAAACCGUACGCAAAAUUCCCAUUGGUCAGAAAUAAAUAGCUUUGCCUUUUAAGGUAAUAUCAUAGUUGCCUCGAAAUCCUUUGUCUUGCGAGGUACGAUUACUCACUAAUUUACCUCAUUACCCAUGCAUACGCUUUGUCUUCUAAAUUUACCCGGUAAAUUUAGUUGAAAACAAAGGAUUUCUUUGUCUUCUAAUUUUCCCCUGCAUGCUUGAUGAGGGAAAUUUAGAAAACAAAAGCGUACCUCAUUACCUCUGAUUGGAGAGCUGUACCUCAUCAUCGGCACAACUAUGGACAGUAUCUGACGACACCGUCCCGUACACAUUCGAACAAUCACUUUGCCAGCUUUUAUUCCCUAAUCUUGAACAUUACAAUUGUGGGAGAAAAUUCCGUUUAUGCGCAUGCCUAAAACGAAUGAACACGGAGAUGUGUUUCUGCGCGUGCGUAUAUAUGAAAAGUGUUCGUACCACAAUCAUAAGACAAUCAAACAGCAUUCAAAACAGGCAACACACCACACGCGAUUCCCUCGGCAACUCUGAUAUUACAAAGUAAUAGCAUGGCAUUACGGUCGAUUAGUGAUGAAAUGUCCCUCAAGCCUCGAGAGGUUUAGUAAAAGUCCCUCGGCGCUACGCGCCUCGGGACUUUUACUAAACCUCUCUCGGCUUUUGUGUACAUUUAAUCACUAAUUGACCUGAAUGCCAUGCUAUUACUUAUAAUAAUAUCAAGUUGUUGUUUAUUUAUGUAAUAUGAUAUUGUACUUUUCGCCAAAUCAAUUACUGCCUUUGCUGUCUAUAAAAACGGUCAAUAACCGUAGUUGUAAUUUAGUAUGUAAUUUCUGGUCGUUUAAUAAAAAUUGGAAUAUUCUCGAGAUAUUCGCGGAAAAAUUGGCCGUUAUUGUCAUAUUUUAAAUUAGCUUUGAUAAUCUAAUUAACAACCGUCAUUUUAAUUGCUUGUUAUUUUUGUGAAUCCAAAUCACUGUCCACUUUUUAUUGACUUGAGUAGCAGGCUCUAUUUUAAGCAUACUACUACAUGUUCUCGUGUCGAAUUGGGACGUUUAUUAACUUUGUCAGAAAUUUCCAUCCAGCACUCCAGUUCAUAUGGUGAGACCAGUGUUUCAUUCUUAGAUAUCUUUGUGUCAAAAAAUUUGUGUUUUCUGUGCUGUACAAGCGCACUGACUCCCACAGGUAUCUUCUAUUUUCCUCUUCCAACCACACCAAAUAUCUGGAUUUGCAGUUAAGAUGAGGACUUUCAAGCCAAAAAUCUGGAAAUAAGACACUUUUUUGUCGAAUGUGGCUAUCCCACCUCUUCACUGAGACCCUUACAGACCCAGUGUCCGAUUUUACAGGUAACAACAAAAUUCUCUUAGUUAGAGAUGCCAUUAGAAGAAAUUACCAUUCCUUGAAAAACUAACCUGAAACGUCUUUCAUUUUUUCCGGUAAGAUCCGCUUAAUCUCUUUUUAACACAUGCAUAAAAAUAUUCAGUCACUUCUCGGCACGUUCCUCUGUUGGAGCCACAAUGUAAAACCUGCGAGUUUCUAGAUUCUGCUACCACCAUUUCGGCACCAAAAUCUCAAUACCAUGUUAAGCACCAUUUCACGUGCACCUCCUGCCAACUCAUCUUCAGCAGCUCAUGUAGAAGAUGUGGAAUGCUUUAUAUGGGGGAAACUGGACGACCUUUGAGGGCAAGACUUGGCGAGCAUCGGCGCGCAGUCAUUGGCAACAAUGCUAGCCCGCCUUUUAAUAGUGGAAAUCACAGUGUUUCUAAAUAUAAAAAGUCAAGCCCUCAGUCCCAUUUCUGGAAUCAACGAUAGUCGCAAAAUAAAUAAAUUGUGCCUUAUUUCCAAACUUGACACGGCCCAUUCCUUUGGCGUUACUAAACGUUUUCCCCAUGUUUACUCUAUCUGUCUUUGCGGCGCCUGUGAAAAACAGACAUUGACAGUAUUUUAAAUUCUUAUCUUAUUCCACAUUUGUCACAUAUAUUUUUUGGGAUUUUUAUAGGGUUGUAGUUUUCUGUAUAUUUGUAUACUCUGUAAUGUGAUUUACAUUUUUUGUUUACACUUUUUUUAUUAAAUACAUCUAAUUGAUUUAAUUCUAUCCCGUGAUCGCUUGUAUAUUUAUAGUAUAUAAGCUCAUGCAAUUUUUCCGACCCUGGCUACCAACUUCCCAACCAAGGUCCUUCGCUGGAAACGUCGAAGUUCGUCUUGUAUUUUUCAGCUAGCUGCAUCCCUAUCGAUCCAAAGCCUUCUUAUUAUCGGCACUAUACCUACACUGGCACAGACCAUUCAAGAUUAUUUAGAUUUAGGUUUCAAAAUGGUAGUAGCGGAAUCUAUAAAUUCACAGGUAUACUACAUCACUGACCCACAGGUCCCUCACAAAGAAGGAAACGUGCCGUAUGUGAUGACGGGUUUUAUGAAUUAUCCAAAGAAUUUCAAACGAAAAUUACAGAUAACUACGUUUCUCAAAAUUGCGAGUUAAUUCUAUUAAUAAUUAUUAUUCUUUAUACUGGUGAUUAACAUCUGUAUUAUGUAUUAAUAACCGACUUCCUAUUUUAAUAGGAGUAAAUUAAGUCCAUAUCACCUUGAAUACUUGAACCAUUUCAUCAUGGCGGAUAAGAAAAGUCUAGAGCAAAGUAAUUGGAAUUCUCAACCACAAGAAUCGACCAGUGGCGGUAUCAAUUAUUAUUCGAAACAGGAUGACAAGGGUAAUGAAACAAGUUUCAAAAUAAGCACAGAGGCAGUGACAGUAGUGGGAGCUGCUGCAGUAGGAGCCGUUUGCCUUGUCAAAGCUCUUGGCAAUAAAAAAGAAUAAUUGGACAACUAUACUUAUCACCACUUAUGUAGAAUACCUGUUUACUAUACAACUGUUUGUAAAACUCAUUAAAAUUUAUCAAGGAAC
rnacentral:lncRNA from 1 species